UACGUAGGCAGCGAGCGUUGUUCGGAGUUACUGGGCGUAAAGAGUGUGUAGGCGGUUAUUUAAGUUUGGUGUGAAAUCUCCCGGCUCAACCGGGAGGGUGCGCCGAAUACUGAAUGACUUGGAGUGCGGGAGAGGAAAGUGGAAUUCCUGGUGUAGCGGUGAAAUGCGUAGAUAUCAGGAGGAACACCGGUGGUGUAGACGGCUUUCUGGACCGUAACUGACGCUGAGACACGAAAGCGUGGGUAGCAAACAGG
rnacentral:rRNA from 1 species